rnacentral:rRNA from 1 species
GUGGGGAAUCUUGCGCAAUGGGCGAAAGCCUGACGCAGCCAUGCCGCGUGAAUGAUGAAGGUCUUAGGAUUGUAAAAUUCUUUCACCGGGGACGAUAAUGACGGUACCCGGAGAAGAAGCUCCGACUAACUUCGUGCCAGCAGCCGCGGUAAUACGAAGGGGGCUAGCGUUGCUCGGAAUUACUGGGCGUAAAGGGCGCGUAGGCGGACAGCUUAGUCAGAGGUGAAAGCCCAGGGCUCAACCUUGGAAUUGCCUUUGAUACUGGCUGUCUUGAGUGUGGGAGAGGUGAGUGGAACUCCGAGUGUAGAGGUGAAAUUCGUAGAUAUUCGGAAGAACACCAGUGGCGAAGGCGACUCACUGGCCCAAUACUGACGCUGAGGCGCGAAAGCGUGGGGAGCAAACAGGAUUAGAAACCCUUGUAGUCC